UUAAAUUAGAUUGUUUAUUCUCAUAACACAACUCACUGCUAUGUUAUUUGUCACAAACAUUAAAAUCUUCAUACGAUGAAUCCUUUAAUUGACAAUAGAUUAAGUUGAUAAUUAAAUAGUGGCCAAUUACCUAAUUAACAAACAUAAUCAUGAAAAUAAUUCAGAGAAUAAAUAAAUACCCAAAAAGCAAUAAAACAAUUAAAGCACAAGAAAGAUCUCACAGUAGUGAUGAAUCAAAGCUUCAUUAUCCUUCAACCAGAAAAAUAGAUUUAGUUCUUCAUAGAGAGAAGAGAAAAAUUAGGAUCUAGGGUUUCUUUCUUUUUCUCCAAUCCAAAUCCCCCUCUUUCAUGAUAGAUUCCUCCCUUAAAUACUCUCUCUCUCUCCUCUUUUAGAAUUCUAUUUAAAAUAAAAUACUAAUAUCUGAAAUAUUAAAUUCGUAAUUACAAAAAUAACCAAAAAUACAAAACACGUUAAACUAAAAACUGCCAGCAGGUAGUUGACAGCACGCGCCCACGCCUUAUCAACAAAGUUCUUCUGACUCUCUAAAUUUCUCCAAGAGAACAAUCAUAUUUAAACAUCAUCUUAUAGCUCAAUUUUAUCACGAAUCAAUAGAAUUGCACCUACAAAAGUAAAACACAAGUAAAUCAUUAUUAUUAAGUACAAAAUAUCGAUAUUAAGAGAAGUAAACAAUGCAAAACUAGUGCAUAAAUUACACUCUAACAAGGGUACCUUCUGGAGGGCAUAACUUGGGCUAUAGUUGGCCGUCCAUUUCAAAGCUUACAAUGAGGUCAAUCUAAUUAAGAACCCCUUGCACUAUUCUGCCCUAUGGUUUAGCAAAAAAUUCCGCUUCAUUACUGGUCAUUUUUUAAUUUUAAAAUUUUCCCUAUUUUUCCUUUUUCUUUAAUGAUUUGUAUCCUUUUUUUAGAUUUUGGAUUUGGGUGCCAUUUGUUUUGCUUUUCCUAUUUAGAUUGGGAGAACGUUAUUAUAAAAUAAUAGUUCAAAUUUGCCUAUUUUGAUAAAUUCACGAUAUUUAGGGUUAUUAUAUAUAAAGGCCCCAAAACCCUAGUUUGAUAAUUUAGACUUAUUCAAUAAAACUUCAUUAUUUAGAAACUUUUGUUUAAUCUAUCUUUCAAUCUUUAACAUUUCUGUUUCAUUAGUUGGUAUCAGAGCAAGUUUGCUUGUCAUAUGGUACGGUCACAUGAACAAAGGAGCAACUAUCUUGAAGACAAUAAUCAAGGGAUGCGGGCACAAACUGUGGAGGCUGUCAGAUAGGUAGCUAGAGAAGCAACCUUGCAAGUGACUAAGAAUGCUUAUAAUUUGAGAUCAGUGGUGAUAGAGUAGGCAAUUGAGAGUUUUAGGCCCUCAUUGAAUGAAAAUAGGGAGAGAGAGUGAGAGAGAGACAAAGAAAGAGUUCAACAACAAGGAGUUAAUCGUGAGGAAGAACUUUAAGUAGUCAAUCAUAGUGAACAACUAGAAAAUUAUAACCACAUGGAGGUAUCUUAGGGGGUCAAUCAUGAAAUAGAACCUCAAGGCAUUAAUUCUGCUUGAUGUAUGCCAGUGGGUAUGGGUGAAGAAUUAGAAAACAAUUUAAAAGAAGAAGAAUCUGUGGAGGAUUAUAACAAGUGUAAAAGGAAUUCAGACUACAAGAUUAAUGUUGAUAUUCCAAAUUUUUAUGGUGGGAUGCAUGUCGAAGAAUUUUUAGACUAGAUAUCAAUUAUGGGUAGUUUUUUUGAGUAUAUGGAGAUUCCUAAAGAUAAACGAGUUUAAGCUUGUGUGUUUAAAUUAAAAGGCGCAACUUUUGCAUGGUAUCAACAUGCGUAGAUUCGAAAAAGAGUUGCGGGAAAACAAUUUAUCAAAUCAUGGUCUAGAGUAUAGAGGAUGAUGUAAGAGUAUUUCCUGCUAGCAAAUUACUGGUAAUAGUUGUAUUUCAAAUAUCAGAACUGCAAGCGUACGAGAAAUAAUUUAGAGAAGCCAGAACUUUGAUUGGUGGAUUGAAGCAAGAGAUACAAGAUGAGGGAGUGGAUACGAUUUGGGACUUAGGUUCUGUUGAUGCGUAUUGGUAUAGGUGUCAAUAUGCAAGUGUACACAAUAAGUAAUAUAAUGAUGAGUAUUCAUAUCAUCUCCAUAAGGAUUAAUGUUAUAGGACUUGCUACAACAAUCUUAACAGUGCAAUCUAAGUCUAAUUAAAAAUAAAAUUAUUGAUGUAAUUAACAACCUAACAAAAUAAAAAAAAUGCAAUAAAUGAAAUCUUAGGUCAAAUACAAAGAUAUAAUCAAUGGGAAAUGAGUAGUAGAGUACUUAAACUCACUUAAUGAUAUUGACUUUUUUUUAAUUAUGGUAUUGUUGCUAUAGCAUCUACUACAGCACUGGGCACAAUCCCUCAAGCAUCCUCAGCUGUCGCAUGUUGGAUAUCUUAUAUUUACAUGCAACCUAAUAGUGACCAGUUGUUAUGCUAACAUUAGACAUUAGAUACAACAUUAUACGUAAUAGAUUCCAAUUGUCCUACAAGGUGAAUCCAUAUGUCUAGUUCUUCACUAAUCUUAGAUCAAACAUGGCCCCAUUCAAAUCAAGAUUAACUCAACUUGGGAAACUUAUUCUAAAACCAUGUAUUGUAUUAAUUUGUUCCACUAAGCCAAACCUUUUGAAACUUCUUCUUAGCUAGUAUCCACUAAAUGAGUGGUCAACUGAAAUAAGGAUUUGCGAUAAGUAAAAUCAAGACAAAAAUGCUACAGUAGAUUCUAAGCAACACAUAUAUAAGUCAAAUAAUCAUUGAGCUUGUUUAACACCCAACUGCAUUAAAGUUUAGUUCAUGAUAUGUGACAAAACAGUAACCAUACUCGUUUAUCAAAUAUAUUCCCACAAAGAGAUGAAAACAAGAAAAUAAAGAUGAAGAAUUGAGUUCCACUAGGUCUUUGCGAUCUCUCCUUCCUUUUCUCUCAAAUCCCUUGCUGGAGCCCUCAACUCUCUUAUAUUCUCUUUUUUAUUUUGUUUUCUCUGUUAUUUUUCUUGACUGAGGGCUCUCUCUUGUUUCUUUCCAUCUAUACUAUUUUUAUAUCUUGGAAUCAAUAGUGAAGAAGAUGAGUUGUUACUGAAAUUUACUUAACAUUUGCCUGGCGAAGCAGUGCAGUUUAUCAUUAGAGUUUGAGAAGUUGAUAAAUUUAGAUACUGAGAAAAAAGUUUGAAUUUCCGUUCGUUUUCAGUCUUGAGCUUUAUACUAAAAACGUUAGGUUUUGACAUUUAAAUAGGAAAAUCAUAGAUAAAUUAAAUGUUAGCCUUAUAAUUUUUUAAAUGCAGUGAGUUGAACUUCUCUACUUUUAUUUUUUUUUUCAAAAAAAUUAAUAAACACCGGCUUUGAGGGGCCGCUUUUUUAAAAAAAAAUUCAGAUCAAGAAAAAUUAUAUUAGAGACGGAUCCAAAUCCAUUAUUAGACUAUAGUAUAAUUGUGCGAACUACGUGGGAUCACUGAAUUCCGUGGCAGACCGGUCAUGAUCAACUAAGGGUCCGUUUGGGGCAGCUGCUCUCCACCCUAUAUUCUAGGGAAUAUUCACCUGGAAUAAAGCAUCCACAGCGCAACUGUCCCAAACGUUCGCUAAAAAUAGUAGAUAAAAAGUAGAUAACAGAGGAAAAAUGUUUUUUGACUCGAUGAAAAGUUUGUCGGCAGUAAUUCAUGAUUAUCAAACUAAUAUGUUCGUGAUGGCAGAUUUUUGAGAAAAUUUUUUUUUAUUUUAUCAAAUAACCUUAUAAUCUUUACAGGGAAUGAGAUCAGAAAAGAAAAAAAAACAGAAAUUACCUUUUUUUUUUCAUUUAUAAAUGGCAAAAGGUGAAAAGAUAUUACAACACUUUGAGAUAUGUCAUUUUUAUACUUGAAGUUUCAAGAAAUUCUAUUUUGCAUAUUGUGCUAAAUCUGUCAUAAAAUUUAUACGAGAAGACGAUUUUUGCCAUUCUAAUUUAAUUUAACAUUAUAAUGCAAUUCAACACUUUGAAAUCUACCAUUUUUAUUCUUGAAGUUUCAAGAAAUUCCAUUUUACACAUUGCCCUUAAAUCUAUUAUUAAAUGUGUAGGAAAAGACAGAUUAUGCUGUUGUAAUUUAAUUUAACACGAUGAUGCAUCACAUUCAAGGCAACCACCAUUUUCCUACGUAGUCCCAUAUAAAUUUUAAAUGCUUCAUUUGGUGUUCGGUGCUUUAUAAUAGAUUAAUGUAAGAUAUACUCAAACUUCACUUUUAUUUAAAUUUUUUUAUUUUUAUAUAAUUAAAUUAAAAUUAUAAAUAAAAAAUAUAUCAGUUAUUUAGAAAAAAAAAAAAAGGACCUUAGAGAACCCUUGUUAUUAUUCGGGAAGGAGAAGAGAAUUCCCUUAAACAAUUCUGAUUGGAAUGAGAAUAUAGACAUAUACAAAAUAGCAGGGAUGGAUACGAGGAGGUGGGUCCCCUCCUCUCCCCAUUGUUAUCCCUGGACAUGUUCUAAUUUUUUAUAUACAGCUGUCGUUCGUGACCGAUGGUAAUUAAGAUUAAAAUAAUUUAUCUUACAUUAGAUACGGAUCAAAUGUAGCCAGAAUGCCAAAAUGAUGAUUAAUUAAUUAACGUUUGAUGACACCAUCCUACAAAUGAUGAUAAAUUAUUAUCUGUUUUAAAGGAAAGUAAUAAUUUUUGUUUGGGGAAACUCUGGGUGGUAAAGGGGGCCAAUAAUUCAGUGACACGAGAUGAAUAAAGUCAGCUAAGUGAAGUCAAUUCGUUUGACCAAAUGACAAUCUCAAAGGUUAGAAGAUAAGCCCCAUCAGGAAAAACAAUAGUUCUAGUAAAUAUAAAUAAAAAAUUUCUUGAGCAAAGCAAUAGGAGGGACCAUGUCGGUUGUUUUUUGCUAUCCUCUACAAAGUAGCAGGAUCAUUGCUCGAGCUUCCUCCACAUGGCAAAAAGUGAGGACCACAAGAGGGAUAAAGGAAUUUGUUGCUCGCCAAGCUUACUUGGUCAAUACCAAGUGAACAAAAGAAAAUGACAAAAAUAGCCCCACUUAAGAAAGGCAGCACCAAUAGAAAAUAUCCAUGUGGCAAAAAUGAUGAAAAUGCGCCUAAGGCACCUGUACUAUAAAUUCAGCUCAAGACACAAGACAAAUGGAUUAUUUCAGAUCUGAUUUCUUGCUUGAAAGACUGCUUUAUCUUCUUCUUCUUUCUCUAUUUUUACACCUCCAUGGAAGAUUUUGGCCAUCUCAUCUCUCAUGGAAGAUUUUUCCUUUUUCUUUUCUUAAAAACUCCCUAAUCUCCAUAAAAUAUACAUCAUCUUCAUCUUAUUACUCAAUAUAAACAACAUUUAAUAAGGUUUUGUUGAUAUUGCAAAGUAAAUCAUGUAAUACUUCAUAUACAUAGUGGAUUGGAGAUGAUUACUCCUGCAAAUGUAGGACAAAGGGUCGAACCAAAUAAAAGCUUGUAUGUUCUUUAUUAUUUAUACUUAUUUUUUGCUUAUUAUGUCCAUAGAUAAGCUUUCUAGAUCUAUCCUAGAAUUCACCAAAGUCAUCCCCUGAGCUCUUUUAAGGUCUUCAUGUUAAAUCUCAAAAUUAACUCUCACGAUCUUUAGUAAGUUCUCUAUAUCAGUUCACCUCCCAAAUCACCUUAGUUCACCUUUCAAAUUAUCUCAUAACAAGCCUAUAAAGAUAGGGUGACCCUAAGUUACGUUAAGUGUAUCUUAUGUUUUCUGUCUUUUUCUUCUGGCAAUUUUCAUACAAGUCCUUAUUUUUAUUACUUUUAUAUUUAAGGAUGCAUUUGCCUUCUUCUAUCACUUAUACACCUAUUUUUCAUUCUUUCUAAUGUUUUCUUUAUUUCUUUAAACAACAAUGUAUGGUUAUCAAAUUUAUAUAAAUCUGUAAAUUCAGAAUAAAUUUCUAGUCCUAAAUUUAUUAUUCCCAUUCUUUCUUGUUCUAACAGUUCUAUUUUUUGGGUUAUUUGAUUUAUAUAGCUUGUUAUAAUAUUUUCCUAGCCUAGAUUCAUGUGAUCUAUAGUUUCUGCUAAAUUAUGUAUCACAUUAAAAGCAUGUUGGUUCAUGGUAGUGCUUCUUUUUUGUACUAGUAUACUAAAAACUUUAUAAAUUCAUCUAUGAAUUUCAUUUUCUUUUCUAUUAAAAUCUCACCUCCUACAGUAUCUAUAUUUCUUUCUUGUAAUUCUUGAGUUAAUUCAAGCUCGAUAUUUCGGAUGUUAUUCUUCUCAGAUUUUAUAGACAUUAUUAAAUUUUUUAUUUCUUCUUUCUCAAAUACUUUUAAAGUAUAUAAACUCUCUAUUAUAUUUUUUAUAGGAUCCAUGGCUCUGAUACCAUUUUAUGGGUAGAUAAAAAAAAACCAAAAAACACAAUAAAAUAAAUAAAUUAAAAAACAAAAAGAAAACAAAAACCAAUUAAGUCAACAAAAUUAAACAAAACAAAUAAAUAAAUAAUAUUAAGUAGUUGAAUCAAACUAUUCGGAUAAUAGAAUUUUGAUGCAAAAAUUCUAAAAGAUAUAUCUAUUUUAUGUCUUUAUUAUUAUUAUUAUUCAUCUAAAAGAAUAUAUCUAUCAUAUCUUAUAUUAUCAUUAUUUCUUAAAUAUAAGGCUAUAACUUCUUCCCCAUUAAUUAUACUAGGUAUAUUUCCGGGAAAACUAGGAACAUAAAAAUCAUAAUAAUUAUUAUGAGUUUCUAUAAUAUAUGUAGGGUUAUUAAUCUGAUUUAAAAUUUCUAAAUUAUAAGAUAUGUAAGAUAUGUUUACUGGAUAACAGAAUAUUUCUAAUUUUAUGAAAUAUAUAUUAUUAUUUAUUAUAUUAGUAUAAUAUCUUGUUUCCCUGUAUGUGUUCAUGAUUACAGAAUAUUAUACCGACUUAAGGUCUUAUAUUUCUAGUUCUUCAUUAUCUGAAUUAUCUAUAUAUUCUAUGUAUGAGGGGUCUAUUCUUAAACUUUCAUUUUCUAUUUUAGCUUUAAUUAUAUCAAUAGUUUCAUCUAUAGUUAACAUUGUGAUUAAGUGUUUUAGAUUAUCUAUUUCUAAAAUGUUUAAAAUUCUUCGUUUUAUUUCUGGUGGUAAUUCUAGUGUAUAUAUAGCUUCUAUCUCUUCUUUACUAAUAAGUUCUUCUUUGCUAAAUAUGUAUGAACUUUACUUAAAAGAUUCAAGAUUAAAAUCUAUUAUCAUCAUGUAGUUAUUAUAUGUUAUCCUAGUUGUAGGAUUUAUCAUUUUUUCUUUUGGAUUUCCACGUCCUAAUCUAACACUCAUAUUUUGAUAAACACUCAUUUUCCUUAUUUUUAACAAUUUUGAUUAAUGAUUUGAAUAAGAUUCACUUCUGAGAGAUGCUCAUCCACCAUCAAUCUCUUCAUCUACAAUCAUUACCAAACUUCCACCAUGAGAUAAGGUUAGAGAAUUAUUACCUAAGUUAUCCUUUUUUCUUCGUCUUAAGAUCUGUCUCCAGUGACCUGCAGCCUAUGCGUCCUUCAUUCCCUCAACGGCCUCCUGCCUUAACGGGAUCAAGCGGACUCCAAUGGCCUUUCUGUAUGGAUCUUGAUCUUCUUUCUUAGAAAUAAAGAUAAUUUUAGGUUUCUCUUUCCUUUCUAUGGGGUUGUUUGUUUUCCUUUCUAUGGGAUAAUUUUAGGUUUCUCUUUCCUUUCUAUGGGGUUGUUUGUUUAUGAUUGAUGAUGUAUUGAUUUCUGGUUUCGAGCUUAAGAGAAUUUAGCUAUUCAUUUUUCAGAGAGUUGUUUCCUCCAAAAAAAAUAUUGCCAAAGUGAAGUAUGGUGUGUAAUCUGAGCCUCUUGCUCUUUCCUCUUUCUUUUUAUUUCAAAACUUUUGUUUCGAGAUUACAUUCUUGCCCUUUUGGCUUUUUUCAAUUAGUACAAAUGCUUUUCCUACUACAUUAUUACAAAGACUUUUCUUUCCUUAUCAUGCGCUUCUGCUUUUUCCUUUUAUCAUGAGCCUUUACUUUUUUGCUAGGGCAUCCUUUAUUUUGUCUGCCACUUGCAUUAUUCUGAUUUUUGUCUGCCACUUGCAUUAUUUUGAUCACGCUAUGCGUAUCUGAUUGCUUGUCUCCAUGAGUUGGAAAGCAUGUUGUAUGGUUUCACUGCUGCUUGGAAAGCGCCUAGUGCUUAUUUCAUUAAUUAGCUCCAGCAAGAUAUUUGAUGGUGUAUGGUUGUCUUCUGUUGUCACUAAGAUAUAAUUCUGGAAUCUGAUGAUGGUUCUGAAAUUCCUCUUGUAUAGGUCUUUUGCUAUGCUCCAAAUGGCUUUUAUCCCUUUGGCUCUUCGGGUUUUUAUCCAGGACUUGGUUAUAUGAGGAACUUCUGUGUAUCCAGUUCCUACCUCUAUUUUAAAAUUUUUUGUGAGGUGUCCCACGGAAAUCAUAUAAAAUGCUUGAUAUUCUAUAUUUUGAUGGUAUUCUAGACUUAUGGUGUAGAAUUUGAGGUAUAUGGGUUUUUUCUGGGCAAAUUUUGACACUUCUUUGACUAAAAGUUCGUCAAAGCUGGCUAUUUCUCUUAGAUCUAUAUCUGGAUAGACUAAAUCUAGGAAUCCAUAACGGGCUAUUUUUCCAACAAGAAGGGGGUCAGCCCCCUUUGUGGCUAUAAAUCUGGGAUAUAUGUUUUUUCCUGGUGCUUUAAAGAUGCUAUUAUUAUGAGAACAAAUAGAGUAUACCCAGGUAGCAAACUGUUUAUACUCUUAUUCUUUUUGGUUCAGAGGUUCUUCUUUUUCUUCAGUAUAGGGACUGUCUAUUUGAAUGAAUUUCUUUGUUGGGCUUAUUUUUGGAGAAUCAACCUCUAUGGAGAUUGUUUGGGUAGGAGCUGUAUCAGAGAUUGGUUUAUAGUCUCUCAGGGGUCCACUACUGCUUCCUGUAUUCAUUGGACUAGUGCACACUGGCACGGUGUUUAUUGAGAGUGCCUUUGUGAGAUCUUUUAUGUAUGAUCCCAACAAAUGGACUCCUUUUUCAUGGGCUUCUGAAGCCUCUUUUAUAUAAUUUAUUGCAUCAAUUAUGUCUGAUGCUUCUGUUGCCAAUCUUUGUAUUUCGGCAUUUAUUUCAGAAAGGAUUUUAAUUGUGUCUGGAUCCAUCUCCAAAUUCUAUGUUUCUGCUUAAGAAAUCUGCAAGAAAAUUGUUAGAUCCCUUUAUAUGUAUGAUUUUAAAAUUAUAAUAUGAUAAAUAAGCUUGCCAUCUAUGUAACCUUCUGUACUAGGGUUCAUUUGGUAAAACUUUAUUUAUUAAUGAGUUUACCUGAGAAUUGUCUGUUUCUAUAGUAAAUUGUUUUUGUAAUAAAAACAAAGAAAACUUUUUUAUUCCUUUAUAUAUUGCAAGCAGUUCUUUUUCAUGUACAAGAUAAUUGACCUGUGCUUGGUUGAAUGUACCACUGGUGUAUCUACAUAUUUCAUUUAUGUCAGUCUUAAGUAUAGCUCCCCAAUAUAGAUCAGAUGCAUCAGUCUGCAUUACUAACUUAUCAGUUUUAUCUGGUAAUCUUAAAAAAGGGAGAUUUUUACAUUCCUCCUUUAAGUUUUUUAUAGUUUCUGUAUGUUCUAUACUCCAUCCUCUAGUAUUAUUUUUCCUUAGUAGCUUUUGAAGUAUAUUUUUCUUUUUAGCUAGAUUUUCUAUAAAUCCUUCUGCAUAAUUUAAGCAGCCUAAGAAUUUUUGUAUCUGUUGUUUAUUUUCUAAUUUAUCUAGAAAAUCAAUAAUUUUUCUUCCUAUAUGGCUUUGGAGUCUGAUUCCUUGUUUAUCUAGAAUCAUUCCUAAAAAUUCAAUUUUCUUAUGUUCUAUUACUGCUUUUUUUUCUAACGGAACUAUUCCUUCUUUAACACAUACAUGUACAAAUUCUUUUAAAUGUUUUCUGUGUUCUUCUAGUGUUUCAGAGGCUAUUAAUAUGUCAUCAACAUAUACUAUUAUGUAUUUAUAAUUUCUAAAUAUUUUAUCCAUUCUGCUUUGGAAUAUUUGUGGGGCAUUUUUUAAUCCAAAAGGCAUUACUAACCAUUCAUAAUGUCCUUGAGGAGUACUAAAGGCUGUAUAAGGAAUACUAUUUUCUUCCAUUUUUAUCUGCCAAAAGCCUGAUUUACAGUCAAACUUUGAAUAAUAAGUUUUGUUUUUUACUAGAUUUAUUAGUACUUCUUUAUUUGGCAAAAAAUAUCCAUCAAAUUUUGUAUAUUUGUUUAAUUCUUUAUAAUUUAUUACCAUUCUAGCUUUCCCUGUAACUUGUUGUGCUCUUUUUCUAACCAUAAAAGCUGGGCUGUUGUGUGGACUAUUACUAUCUCGUAUUAAGUUUAAUUUUAAUAAUUCUUUUAUUUUAAUUUUAAAUUCUUCUCGAUCUUCCUCCGUGUACAUCAUAGGUUUAAGUCUUAAUUUUAAAUUCUUCUCGAUCUUCCUCCGUGUACAUCAUAGGUUUAAGUCUUAUGAUUCUAUUUUCUAUUAAUUCUAUUUUUGCUCUGGGAUGAUCUGGUUUCCAUAAGGCUAAUGGAUUCUCUUUAUAAACCUUUUCAAGUUGGGAUUUUAUUGUUUCUAAUCUUAUGCUUAUGUUAUAACUCUGUCCUAUUGAAAUUAAAUAAUGUUUUUCAUAUAUGGUCUUAUCACCACGCGAGGUUGGCUGAACUCGAUAAGGACGAAAUUCGCGAGGAAUGCGAAGAAUAUGAUUGCAUGGGGUCUUAAGAGUAAUCAUAUAGGUCGUUUGUUGGUAAUAUUGAAACUGUUGUAAGAAAUCAUUACCUAAGAGUAUAUCACAGUCCAUUUGGUCAUAUUGGAAGAUAUGAUUAAUACGUACAAUUUUACUUCCUAAAAGAAUUUCAAAAUUCUUUAAGGAUAGAUUGAUAUGUUGUUUAUCGCCUGUGAUACCUACAAGUUUUAUUGUGCUAUUUGAUUUCCAUUGGUUUGACAAAAAGGUGUUCAUAAUUGUAAUUUCACUUCCUGUGUCUACCAAGGCACAAGUGUCUAUAUCUUUUUCUAUUAUGUUUAUUUGUAUAUAAACAGACAUAGGAUAUUUCACAUAUGCUUGUCUUAACAUGUUUCGCAUAUUAUUUUUUGUCCUUCUAUUUGUAAAGUUAUUUGCCCUUUUUCUAUUUUAUAAUAUUCUAGACUGUUUAGGAAACUAUUUCCUAAAACUAUAUGUUUUUCUGGGUCUGUAGUCAUAAAAGAGUCUAUGUAGCAAGAUACUAUUAUUCUUAUUCCUUCAAUUAUUAAUGGAACUUUUACUUCUUGUCUACAUAUAUGCUUAUUACCAUUGAAGUCAGUAUAUUCAUACGGAAUUUCUUUUUCUUUUAUCAAGAGUCCUUUAUUUUUUGUAUGAUUCAUAUAAUUAUGACUUGUUCCUGUAUCUACUAGAAUAGGUAGUUUGGUUGUAUAUUCUAUGCCAUUGAAGUACUGUCCAAGUAUUUUUACUACACUACUAGUGAGUAUAGGUUUUACUAUUUGCUUAUCCAUAUUGAUUAUUUGUUUAUCAGUACUUAAUCUUCUAGAAGACCCUCCUCGCAAAAGAGUUCUUCCUGCAAAACUUAUAGGGAUUAUAGAAUUCUCAUUAUUAUCAUUUAAAAAUUAUUUUUUAUCAUCUACAUCUAAUUCGUAUGUUAUAGGAAUUUUAUAAUCCUGUAUGAUAGGUUCUAUUAUGGUUGCUAUAUCCUCACAUUCUUUAUUUAUUUCUAUAUAUGGUUUAUUUCCAUAAAUUUCUCCAUAAUUUGAGUUACAAAAACUAUAUAAUGCUAAAUAGUGUAUAGUCAUUAAUCUAUUUCCUUCCUUCAUUAAGUUCUUUUUUAGGAGUUUAAAAUGUAGGCUUAAAGUUUCAUCUAUGUUUUUAUCUUUUAUAUGUACACAGUAUCUAGGGUGACAUGUAAAUAGUAAUUUAGUAUAACAUAAGUUUCCUUCUACUGUUCCUAGAUGUCCUAUGCUAGGGUCAUGAAAUCUUUGGUCAUGGAUUGAUAAAACUAUUGGGCUAUCUACCCCUUCUUUGAAGAGAGAUUUUAUCAAAAUUUGGAUUUCAGCUAAAUAUACAUAUUGUAUUUUUUCUUUCGUUGAUUCAUUCUUUAUUUUUCUUAAAGCUAAAUCUAUUGUUCUUUUGUUUAUUAAACUGAAUCGUAUAUUUCCUUCAGCUUGUGUUAUAGUUACAGCUUUUUUUUGUUCAUAGUAUUCAUGUAAGAUUAUUCUUUUUCUUUUAAAUAAAUCUCUUAGUUUUUGUAAGAUUCCAUACUCUGGUUUUUCCACAUUUAAUCUUAAAAGUUUAUUAUAUUUUUCCUUAUUAAAAGUGGCUACUAAGCUAUAUCCACUUUUAUUUUCCUCUCUUUCUAUUUCUUCAAUGUCUUCUAUUUCUUCUUUUUCAAUUAUUUCUUUUUCUUUAUUCUGAUUCAUUUUCCUCCUCUUUCUCCAUAUAUACUUCCAACCCUUCAUAUUCUGACAUGCUUGUUAUUUCUUCUAAUUCAUCUUGUAUUUGAUCAAAAUCUUCUUGUAAAAUUCUAACCUUUUUCUUUUUACAAUCUGUACUGAUAUGUCCUAUUUCACCACAAUUCCAGCAUUUGCAUUUUGAUUUAUCUAAUAGCUUUCUUUGGUUUUUAUGUUUCCUUUUGUAGUAUUUCCUUCCAGGUUUCCUGUAUUUCUUUUUAAAAUUGUUAUAUUUUUUAUAUCUUUUUUCCUUUUUAUGCUUAUUUCUUUUUCUGUUAUAGGGCAUAAAACAUCCCCAUUGCGUUGGCAUUUCUGUCUUUUCACAACAUAUUUCUGUUAUUGAUAGGUUCUAUUAUGGUUGCUAUAUCCUCACAUUCUUUAUUUAUUUCUAUAUAUGGUUUAUUUCCAUAAAUUUCUCCAUAAUUUGAGUUACAAAAACUAUAUAAUGCUGAAUAGUGUAUAGUCAUUAAUCUAUUUCCUUCCUUCAUUAAGUUCUUUUUUAGGAGUUUAAAAUGUAGGCUUAAAGUUUCAUCUAUGUUUUUAUCUUUUAUAUGUACACAGUAUCUAGGGUGACAUGUAAAUAGUAAUUUAGUAUAACAUAAGUUUCCUUCUACUGUUCCUAGAUGUCCUAUGCUAGGGUCAUGAAAUCUUUGGUCAUGGAUUGAUAAAACUAUUGGGCUAUCUACCCCUUCUUUGAAGAGAGAUUUUAUCAAAAUUUGGAUUUCAGCUAAAUAUACAUAUUGUAUUUUUUCUUUCGUUGAUUCAUUCUUUAUUUUUCUUAAAGCUAAAUCUAUUGUUCUUUUGUUUAUUAAACUGAAUCGUAUAUUUCCUUCAGCUUGUGUUAUAGUUACAGCUUUUUUUUGUUCAUAGUAUUCAUGUAAGAUUAUUCUUUUUCUUUUAAAUAAAUCUCUUAGUUUUUGUAAGAUUCCAUACUCUGGUUUUUCCACAUUUAAUCUUAAAAGUUUAUUAUAUUUUUCCUUAUUAAAAGUGGCUACUAAGCUAUAUCCACUUUUAUUUUCCUCUCUUUCUAUUUCUUCAAUGUCUUCUAUUUCUUCUUUUUCAAUUAUUUCUUUUUCUUUAUUCUGAUUCAUUUUCCUCCUCUUUCUCCAUAUAUACUUCCAACCCUUCAUAUUCUGACAUGCUUGUUAUUUCUUCUAAUUCAUCUUGUAUUUGAUCAAAAUCUUCUUGUAAAAUUCUAACCUUUUUCUUUUUACAAUCUGUACUGAUAUGUCCUAUUUCACCACAAUUCCAGCAUUUGCAUUUUGAUUUAUCUAAUAGCUUUCUUUGGUUUUUAUGUUUCCUUUUGUAGUAUUUCCUUCCAGGUUUCCUGUAUUUCUUUUUAAAAUUGUUAUAUUUUUUAUAUCUUUUUUCCUUUUUAUGCUUAUUUCUUUUUCUGUUAUAGGGCAUAAAACAUCCCCAUUGCGUUGGCAUUUCUGUCUUUUCACAACAUAUUUCUGUUAUAUUUCUACUCUUUUUUAUUAGAUUUCUCUGGAUACAUAUAUCACUAAGUCUUGUAUUUAGAAAUCUUAUUCUAGAUCCUAAGUUAUCUGGUAGUUUAUUUGAAGUAAUAAAUUUCUCAUAUUCAUUUAUAAAGUAACUAUUCCAAGGGUAUGGUAACUUGGAGUAAUAUAGGUUUUUAUAAAUUUCUUGAUCUUCUAAACUCACAUAUUGUUCAUAGUAGUAUUUACUAAAUUCACAAGUAUAUUCUCUGAUAAAACACAUAUUGCAAAUUGUUAAGUUUAAUAGAUUUAUUCUUGCUCUUUGUUUUUCAUUAUUUGCCUCUCUUUCUGAGUUUUCUAGCCAAUCUUCUCCUAGAAAUUCUCUGGCAAUGUAUUCAAGUAUUCUUUCUAUUCCUAGAGCAGUGCUUCUUCUAAAAGCUAUUUUGGUUUAAUCUUUUAUUAACAUUUGUGUAUCAUCACUUAAUCCUCUCCACCAGUUAAAUAUAUUUCCUGUAAAACUGGUUAUUAGGAUGUCUGUGAAUAUGUCUAUCUUUUCUUCAUUGGUAGUUACAUUCCAGUCAUCAUUGGCUCCAUUAUAUGUGAAGAAUAGCUUCAUUUGCAUUCCCCAUUCUACUAAUGUUUUUCGAGGGUUUUCUUUGCAAUCUAUAUUUAGAAAUGAUCCACUAUUGCUUAUAGGUACUAAUGUAUCCUGAUUGGGUUUAUAUUCUUUUUUCCAGGGGGUAGCUUUUACUUUAGGUAUAUAUUCAUAAAAAGGUUUAUUCUUUUUCUUAGGUAUAAACCUAUGACUAGGUUCUGCAACAUUUGGUUUCAUCUCUGGUCCUCCUGCUGUAUUCAUUUUUAUUUGGUAUUCUUUUUCAAAUUCUUCUAAAUCGCUAAGGUUUAUGUCACUAAAUUUUUCAGUUAAAUUUUCUAUUGUAUCUUCCAUUAUUCAUAAUUGGACUCAGUUUGUUCUUUUAUCUCUAAUUUCUCUUUUCCUUUUUCCUUCUUUUUUAUUUCUGCUUUUAAUUCUUCAGCUUCUUGUAAUAUUUUUGGAUAUUGUGUUUCCAUAAACCAGUAGUCAUAACUACCUUUUUGGGGUUUUUGUGUAGGUUUUUUAAAGUUUGUUCCAAUAAUACCUGAUUUUAUUAUCUCAAGUCUUUCUGUUUUCUUUUUUUUCUUUUGCCCUUUUUGUAGUAAGGAUAUUUCUAUCUUUAAUUUUCCUAUUUCUUGUCUUAUUUCUUUUAUUUCUUCUUUUAGAUUUAAAAGUAUCUCUUUUAACUCUAUUAUUGUGGUUUCCAUUAAGUACAAGGGAGUUUAUAUAUAUUUUGUUUAUUUGAAUGUAUGUUACGUUGCAAGUAACAUAGGCUUGGCCAUAAAGAUAAGAUCCAUGCACACAAAACCAAGCCUAAGAGAGGAGCCCGUUCUGGGAACAAUUAAUUGAGUGCUCACACGCAGAGGAGAUCCCCACACGAGAAUGUCGUGUAUAUGCUCAUCCUUGGCCACCAUUUACAUGUUUUCCCUUUGUUUGAAUUUUAUUCAUUUUUAAAACAAAUUAUAUUGAGAAUACAAUUCCUAAUACAAAUUCGAAUUUAUUUUAAAUCAUUGUAAAAUUAUAACUCAAAUUUAUAGAGGAAAGGAGAAUAGAGCGUAUGUAUUUAAAGAGGCGAUUAUAUCACACUGUGAUUAUCUAGAAAGCUCUCUAUUCUAUAUUGCUUUCUCUGCCUUCAUCUUGUACAUUUUGCUAUUCUAAACUAUCUUGUUGAAGUGCAACAUCGCGAUAAUAGUCAUUGUAUCCUGGAGAUCAAAUCACCUUCGCUAGUCGAUAUUAUAUCUUAAGGCGCAAAAUUUGGUCUUAAGAACAAUUGCCUUGACUGCUUUUCUAUUUUAGUCGAGUUUUCUGUCUAAACUUCUAUUGCUUUCCAUAUUAAUUUUCUAAUAAGCUCACCUUCCAUAUUAUUUCAGUUAUAACUCUUGCCGCAAAUAUUAAAAAAAAACACAAAUCAACCUUUACUAGCCAAUCUCCCCCUAAAUAUAAUUUUUUUUUUGUUUUAAUCAUAUUUGACUUGUAUCUAAUGAGUAUAACCACCUAAUGGUUCGAAUUCGAUCUUAACAAAAAUUGAGUUAAAACUCUUUCGUUACUCACAAAGCGAAUACAUUCAUAAUAUUUGUAAGAAUUUUAUCCGUCAUACAACCAGAUCAUUUAGAGCUAGGAAUUGGGUAAAAUUGAAACCUAAUGCCGAUACCUUGCAAAUUAUGCAUGCAAUUAGUUAAUUGUAGAUAAGUAGAUUAAUGACUAUAAUUCAAUUGUGCAAGUUAACUAGGAGCAUAUAUGCAAUAAUUGAAUAUUGUUUUUUAAUUCAAUAUAUAAUUUGUUGGUAAUAAUCAGCCAAUUAAACCAAAUAAACCGUGAUAGUUUGAAAAUUAUUUCAGUACCCUAAGAACAAAAUUUGCCAAAAUUUUCAUCAAUACCUUCUAAAAACUCAAAUGAAAUUACUAAAGUAUCCUCAUCUUAAAACAAUUAUGCAACUCAAACAUAACAUGGAUCAAACAAACAUAACUCAUACAUGCUAAACUGGAGGACUAAUACACACGAGCAAACCGAGCCUGGAGAAGAGGAAUCUACGCAACUAAGAAAGAGAAGCUUGGUUCGUCGCUGUAUAGUCGCCUGCAAGAGUUGAUCCUUUGCUGUAAAAUUGUCAGAAUCUGACUUCUUUUGGCAAGUAAUUCCUUGUAAUUAAUUGAUAUUUGAUAUUUAGGGAAAAAUAAAAAAAUUAGGGUUUUAUAUUAAAAAAUAGAUUAAAUUAGUUGUAGGUCUCUCAUAACAUAUUCAAAAAUAAAUUUCUAGCUGUUUUGCUCAAUGGAAAUGGUGAAAAAUUGAUGGGUUGUGCAGAUUAUAAUUCGAUCGUGCAAGGUCAUGUAACACAGGAUUCAAGGUCUUAUAUUACACAUGAGUUCAUAUAAUGCACGACCCUCAGUCGAUUAUGACAUGAUUUUCUGUAAUAUUACAUGACCUUCAGUCGUAUAUUAUAGGACUUUCACGACCUUCAGUUUUGUAUUACACGAUUUUCAUGUAUGACAAGAUUACACGACCUUCAUGUAUUACACGAUGUUCAUUACUUAGAGACAAUUUGUCUAGGAAUCUUCCAAUCUUGAAGAAGUCAAAAAUGAUUAUGAGAAUGAAGUCCUUGAUAUCACUGCAAAAGAUGCUAUAGCUUUUGUUAUAAAAAUUUCUGGUAAUGCUUUACUUUUUCAUAUCAUCUUGGUUUGUCUGGCUACUAUUGCUCUCUUCUGUAUUGGCAGCAUUGUGGUAGCGCAUUUGUUUUUUUUUUUUUUUUUUUACAUUUUGCUACUAGAGUAAGAUAAUGACUGCAUGAUAGUUUGAAUGAACAUUUUUCAUUGCACUAUCUCAAGGACAUGAUUAGUUCUUGAAUAGCAUUUUUUUUCAUCUUUGUUGCAAUUUCUUUUUGUUGGUGAUAAGCCAUGCCAAUUAAAGUCAAAUAAAUCAAACCGAUGGUGAUAAAUUACUACAACAUGGUCACAUGUACAUGGCCAAAUAAUGUUGAUACUCUAAAAUUGAUCGAUAAUGACAUAUAAAUUAGAAUACAAAAUUAAAUAUUUUAAUUUAUUCUUUGUAAAAUAAAAUAUUAUUAUAUAUUGAGCAAAAUUACAUUAAAGGAAACCCAAGAAUGACUUUUUGCUUCACUGUGACAUCUAGAUCGUAAUCAACAUGGUCCAAAGUAGCUUGAACAGCUCAUGGUAAUAUCAAGCCAUGAGAUGUCUUAAGCUUGAACUUUAUUGUGAUUUCAAAUUCUGAAAUAUCUAUAUCAAUAACUUGAGCUACCUUCUUCAACAAUUCCCUAUAUGUUAUUUAUUGUGGUAUCAUUAUCCCUUUAGCCUCAGAACCUUUGAACCUCUACCCGUCAUUUCAUUCAAUUCAUUCACCAUUAAAAAGAAUAGUUACACAUACCAAAACCAUAUUUAUUGAUAUAAUAAAAAUAAUAAUAUCAAAUUUCAUUUAACUGUAGUUGAGUGACAAUAAUCUAGAUGGGUUCUUGAGUGAUCAUAUGAGUUGUUGCAUGUUUGCUGUAGCAUUUUCCUCUAAUAAAUUAUAUAACAUUGACACGACUUAAAAGUGUUUGAUUUACUCCCAAGUAUAAGAGUGCCUAGUUAUAAUAUAUCUCGGUGAGUCCGAGGUUGAUCCACAGAGAAAGGAUUUAAUUUGUUUAUUUAAGUUUAUCAAAAAAAUAAAAAUAAAAUUUAAAAAUAUGAAAUUUAGUUUAAUAAAAACUAUAAAAUUGAAUUAGUUAGGAAUAUGGAUCCACUCCUACUAAUAAAUACAAUUUAACAAAUUUUUUAUUUUUUAUUUUAUUUCCCAAAAGAUUAAUUGUAAAAAUUAAAAUUAUUUUCCCAUUUAUUUUAUUAUGGAUUAAGAACUUAGUGUGCCAAAACUUAAUUUGUCUACAAUAAAUCAAAAUAUCAUUUUACCAUACUUUAUACUAAGAGUUUAAGAAUUCAUUGUGCCAAACUCCCAUGUUUGUCUACAAUAAAUCAAAAUUUCAAAAUAUAAAAUAUGGAUAAAAUUAAAUAGAAAAUAAUUUAAUUUAUAAAAUUAAAAAUAGAAUUUGAUUAAACUAUAUUUUUACUAAGAGUUUCACCUUCCCCUAACUACUAAUAUUUAGCUAAACGUAUUUAAAAUAAAAGGAAUUUUCUUUAAAAACAAAAAAGACAUAAUUAAAAAAUGCUUGAAAAUUGAAAAUAAAACUAAUUUUAUUUAUUGAAAAUAUAUUAGAAAGAGAGAUGAGAAGAAGAAUUUGGGGGGAAAGAAGAGAAGAGAAGGUGUGAAGAGGUGUGUUCACCCCCCUCUUUAUUUAUACUAAUACUUGGUAAAUUCACACCACACAAAUAAAAAAAAUCUAAUUACAUCUUAACCUUACAUUUUUCCCACUAAUAAAACAUAAACCUAAUUUAAUCCAUUCAAGCAUAUCCAACACAUUAUUAAAACUAAUUUUAUUUAUUGAAAAUAUAUUAGAAAGAGAGAUGAGAAGAAGAAUUUGGGGGGAAAGAAGAGAAGAGAAGGUGUGAAGAGGUGUGUUCACCCCCCUCUUUAUUUAUACUAAUACUUGGUAAAUUCACACCACACAAAUAAAAAAAAUCUAAUUACAUCUUAACCUUACAUUUUUCCCACUAAUAAAACAUAAACCUAAUUUAAUCCAUUCAAGCAUAUCCAACACAUUAUACUAACAAUUACCAUACCUAAUAUGAUAAAAACUUAUAAUUUUACAAUUAUCACAUUUACCGUGGUAAAAACAUAAAAAUUUACAACAAAAGUCUCGACUCCUCCUCGACAAUGACAUAAUUUCUCAGACUUCCGGAAUCCAAAUUUGACAUCCGUACAUUUGUUUGGAGCCUCAAAUUGCAUGAAAUUAUUAUUUUUACCUAAUAAACACAAAAAAAUACACAAAAUCAAAUAUUUAGAAAAAUAAUUAGAAAUUCACAAUAUGUUAUACAAUUAAAAAUAUAAAUUACAUUAAUAGCACAAAAUAACAUUUUUAUCCCUUAAUAAACAUACAAUUUUUAACACUAAUCAAACAUUCAUUAUUUCGGUUGACCUCUCAUUUAAUUAUACAAGUUAGGAGAGAGCAACAAAAGGGUCUGACUUAGUGGAACAUGUUACAGUAAUACUUGGUCUUAAAUUGAGUUUCUUGGAUUGAGUUUAACUUGAGUCCAAAAAUGGUCAUACCAACAUGCUCAAUAGACAAUUGUCCACUAUGAACUCUUUCUUUAACAAUUAGGAACUUGAUGUCUAUAUACUUCGAUUUUGUCGAGCUCUUACUGUUAUUGGAAUACAGCACUGCUGACUUAUUAACACAAAAUAAUCUGAGUGGUCCAUCAACACCACCUACUAUACGCAACCUCAUGACAAAAUUCCAUAACCAUAUUCCAUGAUUAGAUGCCUCAUAACAUGCUAUGAACUCGGCUGCCAUCGUAGAAGAGGCUAUAAGAGACUAUUUAGCACUCUUCCAAGAGACAACACCCCCAGCCAGCAGAUAGAUGUAACUCGAAGUGGAUUUCAUACUAUCUUGGCAUCCAACAAAAUCAGAGUUAGUAUACCCAAUGAUCUCAAGCUGAUUCGACCUCCGAUAUGUGAACAUGUAGUCUUUUGUUCUCUGUAAGUACUGCACAACCCGUUAGGUUGCUUUCCAAUGGUAUAUUCCUAGAUUACUUAAAUAUCUACCCAAUAUAUCAGUAGCGUACACAAUAUCUUGUCACGUACAAACCUGAACAUACAUCAAACUUCAUAAUACUGAUGCAUAAGGAAUCUUCUGCAUUUCUUUUUCCUCAAAAUCAUUUUUAGGGCAUUGAUUGAGACUAAACUUGUCUCCUUUAGCCAUAGAGGUAUUGCAAUCUUGCAUGGCAUAUCUCUUGAGAACCUUUUCGGUAUAACUAUUUUAUGAUAAUGCAAGAAUACCCCGGGAGCGAUCUUGGUGUAACUGUAUGCCUAAUACAAAAGAGGCGUUACCAAGAUCUUUCAUCUUAAAAUUCUUAGCUAGAAAUCUCUUGGUGUCAUAUAAUAAGCCUAUAUCGCUGCCGGUAAGCAAAAUGUCAUCGACAUAUAAAAUCAGAAAAAUAUAUUUGCUCCCACAGAACUUAUGGCAUAUGCAAUCAUCGACCAAAUUCAUUUUAAAACCGAAUAAGAUAAUCACUUGAUGAAAUUUGAAAUACCAUUGUCGAAAUGCCUGUUUGCGCCCAUAGAUGGAUUUCUUAAGUUUGCAGACCAUAUUUUUUGGGUUUCCAGACAUAAAGUUUUCUAGCUUCACUAUAUAAAUUUCUAGCUUCACUAUAUAAAUUGUCUCAUUGAUGUCGCCAUUGAGAAACAUCAUUUUUACACCCAUCUGAUGUAACUCAAGAUCGAAAUGCACCACUAAUGCCAUUAUAAUCCUAAAAGAGUCUUUUAAAGAAACUAAAGAGAAAUUCUCUUUAUAGUUGACGCCUUCUUUCUAUGUAAAGCCCUUUGCGACAAGACGCACCUUGUACCUCUCCACAUUGCCUUUGGAAUCCCUCUUGAUCUUAAAUAUCUAUUUACAACCAAUAGGUUUUUCACAUUCUGGCAAUGGGACAAGAUCCCAUACAUCAUUGUCAUUCAUGGACUUCAUUUCCUCAUCCAUGGCAUCAAUCUACUUCUAAGAGUUAGAACUUUUCAUGGCUUGACGGAAAUUGAUUGGAUCAUCUUCCAUUACUCCAAUGUAUGCCUCAUGUUCUUGGAGAAAUACAAUAUAGUCAUCUGACAAUGCAUUUCUCCUUUCUUUUGUGGAUAAGUUUGUUCUUCUGAAACAACUUCUUGUAUGGGGACUUCUCCAACAUUGUCUUGAUCUGUUGUAUUUUGAACAAAGUUAUGAAUGAGACCCUGAUCAAUGUCAAUAACACCUAUAGGAAUAUCAACAUAUUCUUCUUCAAAGACAAAGUCUCAGGCCGUAUCUGCCCCUGCAAACUCAACAUUAAGGGUGGGCAAAAAAACCGUAGUCUUAAAAAAACCGAACCGAACCGACGGUUUUUUCUAAUUCGGUACGGUUUUUUUUUUUACAAAAAACCGAACGGUACAAUUUAUAAAAAAACCGAAAUGUCGGUUCGGUAUUCGGUUCAUUUAACUGAACCGAAAAACCGAACCGAAAAACCGAAUUAUUUUUAAAUUUUAUUAAAUUAAAUAUGUGUUAAUUUUUAACUGAUUGUGUAAGAUAGCUAACAUAAACUUGCAUACACACAAUCAGAGUAUAUAUAUAUGUUAGUGUUACAAUUUCGUAAAUUUUUAUUUCCCAAAAUAAACCCUAAAAUCAAAUAUAAAAAAAUUUCGUAAAUUUCGUAAAUUUCAAUUUCUUGAAGAAUUUUUUAGGCUAAUGCAAUCUUAAGAACAACAGCAAGUAGCUGAGGAGUAAAUGAUAGUUGAUUGAUGUUGCUUACCAGUAAGUUUUCUUUAUUUUUUUUUAAACUAGCAUCUUAUUAUAUAGAUUGUUUAUUUAAUUAUUUAUUAAUAGUUAGUAAGAUAUUAUUGAUAAAAUGUGUUUUGAAUACUUUGUAUUUAUUGUUAAUAUUUGUAAUGAAAUUAGGAUGAACUUGUUGAAAAAAAUUAUUACAUUUAUGAAGCCCAAUGGGCUAAAAAUUUGAAAAUUCAAAAUAGGCCAAGAACCGAAAAAACCGAACCGAACCGAACCGAACCGAAAAGAACCGUUUGAAUUCGGUUCUUUUUUAGUUCGGUUCUUAUUCGGUUCUUUUUAUAAAAUAACCGAUUUAAAUCGGUUCUACUUAAUUUCGAACCGAACCGAACUGAACCGAACCGUGCCCACCCCUACUCAACAUCCUCAAAGAACCGAGCAUUUCUUGACUCAAAAAUCACCUUAGUCGUGGGAUUAUUAGACCCCUUGGAUCGUUCUGAGUAUCCAAGAAAAUAGUAACUCGCUAUUCUUAAGUCCAGUUUCUUCUCAUUAGACUUGUAAGGCCUUGCCUUAAAUGGACAUCCCCAAACAUGCAAGUGAUUUAGACUAGGCUUCUUAGCCGUUCAAAGCUCGUAAGGGGUUUUGACAAUUGUUUUAGUUGAAACUCUAUUAAAAAUAUAUGUUGCAGUCUUAAGCGCUUCUCCCCAGAGUGAUUCUAGUAAGGUAGAAUGAUAAAUCAUACUCCUCACCAUAUCUUUAAGCGUCUUGUUUCGUCUUUCAGCAACACCAUUUAUAGUGGGCGAACCUGGCAUAGUGUAAUGCGGAACAAUACUACAUUCCUUUAGGAAUUUAGCAAAUGGCAUGGACGUUGUUCACUUGAAACAUCAUAUCUACCACAGUAUUCACCACCAUGGUCAAAUCAGACACUUUUGAUUCUUUUAAAGAGUUGGUUCUCAAUUUCAACCUUAAAGAUUUUGAACAUAUCCAAUGACUGUAACUUUUCAUAGAGGAGAUAUAUGUAGUCAUAUCUAGAAAAAUUGUCUAUGAAUGUCAUAAAAUAUUGUUGACCAUUCCAAGCAACCGCAUAAAAUAGCCCACAAAUGUUUGUAUGUAUGAGUUCUAAGACAUCUGAAGUCCUGUUGGCUUUAAAUCUCCUUUUAUUGGUUUGUUUCUCUUUAAUACAAUUAAUACAAAUAUCGAAAUCUGCGAAAUCUAAAGGGUCGAGAAUUUCAUCUGACACAAGUCUCUCUAUUCUCCGUCUAGAGAUAUGAUCCAAUCUCUUGUGCCAUAAUGCAGUUGAAUUCUCAUUAGUUAAUUUUCUUUUUACAUCUCGUGUACUUAAUUGCAGGGAUUCAUUAAAUCAACCAAUCGUAUCAAGCAUAUAAAGAUUAUCAUCGCCUGACAAAGAACAGGAACCAACCAUUUUUGAAUAAUGAAACAAACUGAAUUUUCCGUUUCCAAAUGAACAAGAAUAACCAUAUUUGUCCAAAGUGGAAACAUAAAUCAAAUUUCGUCUAAAAGACGGAAAAACAAAUGUUUCAUCAAGAUCCAAAUAAAAUCUUAUCUUUAAUAAUAAUCUAAAUUUUCCAAUUGCUUCAACUUCAACCUUCUUGCCAUUACCCACAUAGAUGUAUCUUUCACCAUAUCGGGCUUUCGGUAAUUCAAGCAACCCCGCAUAAUCACACUAAUGAGAGUGGUUGUACCAGAAUCUAUCCACCACGUGUGUCUAGGUACCGAAGUUAAAUUAACCUGAGAACAAACCAAACAAUGUCCUUGAACUCUGUAAAAGAAAUAAUUAGUGGCCUCUCGAUCAUCCAAUUUCUUUUGUUAUUUCUUUUGAAGUGUUGUAUUUGCAGGUUCCUUAUCCUUCUUUAUUUUCUUGCCCUUAGAGGUAGAAGCUAGGUGAGCACUUUCUACCUUAUCUUUCUUUAGCCUAUCCUCUUUCUAAACACAGUGUGAUAUAAGCUCAUUUAGAGACCAAGUCUCUUUUUGACAAUUAUAGCUCACCUUAAACUGGUUAAAUUGUGUUGGUAAGGAUAUUAAAACAAAAAGCACUAGCAAGUCCUCAGAGAGUUUCAAGUUUAAGUGCUCUUAACUUAGAAGCAAGAUGAGACAUCUCUAUAAUGUACUCCCUGAUAUUGCCUUUACCUGUAUACCACAUUGAAAUUAGGCUUGUCAAAAGUGUGCCAAUUUCAACCUUUUCAUUCUUGACAAACCUCUGCUUAAUCUGUGCAAGGAACUCCUUAGCCGUAGUUGCUUUUUCAGUCAUUGAGUCCCUGAAUGCUUAUGGAAUGGCCUUCUUCAUGAUCAUGAUACACAUGUGAUUUGAUCUCUCCCACUUUUCCAUUUCCCUUUUAUUAUCAGAGUACUUUUAUCUGUGAGCGGUGGGGGAAAAUCAACCCUUAACGCAAGGUCAAGAUCCAUGACCGCGAGAACUAGAAAGGUUCUCAUGCCAUGAUUUGAAGUUAGAGCCAUUUAGCAUAGGAAUGGAAUUGAUGUUGGUAGUAAUAUUUGUCAUAGACAUAACUUAACAAAAAACAACAAAUAAACAAAUCAAGCUCAUAUUAGUCUUAAAAUAAAAUUAAAUUCAAAUAAAGGAAAACCCUAUCUCAAGAUAUCAGAUACUUUAUUAAUAUUUCAUCUUUCGACAAAAUAUUAACUUGUAAGUGAUAUCAUGGUGUAGUAAUCAAACACUGAUGAUAAGAACAUGUCAAACAAUAAAUCUUCCUUUGGACCGAUUUAUUACUCACAUGUAAAAUUGAAUAAUCAUCACGUGUUCAUUACCAUAGGUGCACAUGCAACUCUAUCAAACAUGGACCUUCCUUUGGGCUGAUCGGUAUUUACAAAAUUACAUGUACAAAACUUUUUAUAUUCCAAAAUAAAUUAAUUUCCACAAAAGAGGUCACUUUGGCGACAUGUUGCUUCAUUUAAUUUAUCUUAAAACACAUAUAAACCUAUCAAUAUUUGAAUUUAAAAUUGCAGAAAAAUUACUCAAAAAUUAAAAAAUUCAGGUCAAAGUCAAAUUUUGACCGAUCAACGGUCAAUCAUUGACUGGUCAAACUUUGACCUGUUCAAACCAUUGACCGGUUUUAAAAUAGACUGGUUCGGGUUGAACAGAACUGGACCAGACCGGCCCCAAAUUAAAAAAGCCUAAUUUUAUUCUUUAAUUCUUUGAGCGGCGGCCUCAACCUCAGUCGCCGCUGCCUCUCCUUCGUCGCGGCGUGAAGGCGCCAGCCAAAACCUUGAAACAUUUUUUUUCUUCGGUUUCCUUUCCCUUUUAUGUUGCAAUUGUGGCUGUUGCUUUUCUUCUCCCUCAUGCCGCGACUCUCUUCCUCUUCAGCGCGGCAGUGCGCUGCAUCAGCGAAAAUCGCGCACCAGCAAUGUGAGUCACGUUGCCAACCGCGCAAAUUGUGUACAACACGCCAUAGCCCAGCCACGCAUGGUGCUGUGCUUUGCUGCCAUGCAACCCAACAACCGCAUGAUGGCCAUCAAAUCUCAGUCGCGUUUGAUACCUUAGCCAUGAACCUUAACGACAAUGGCAACCGUCCACCUCAAAACUUUGAGCCUUUAGGAAACCGAAUUUCAGAAUAUUUAUUUUUGUUAAUUCCAAAUUUAUUUAAUUUUGUUCUCAAAUUUAAUGAUUUAAGGACACCAAAAUGUUUAAUCCUUAAUCAAAAUUAUAAUUGAUUCUCAAUGAUUCAACAUGAAGAGAUUCUGAUACCACUUGUUGGAACAAGAAAAACAUUUGGUGAAAACCAUCACCUAUACCUAGAAAUAUUCAUGUUCUAUCACCAAGAAUUAAUAGUAAAAUUAUGCAGAAGUGUACAUGAAUUCAUAACGCUGAAUUGCUCUUUAGGGUUGUGUGGUUGACCUUCCAUAUCUACACAUUCUCCUAGAGAAUCUUUUAAGUUUUCUCAGGGCUCUCUCCAACGAUGGGAUUUCAGAAAGAAUAGAAAGAUACGUGUGACCUAGGGACCAUAACUACUUAUAUAGACAAUAUUUUCCUGUUGUCAUUGGAUAUUCUUAAUUUUGCCCAUUAUAGAAUUAGAAUAUUAUCGAGUCUCUACACAUUAAGUCUUACACCGUAUUAGAUACAUUAAAGCCUAUAAUAUCAAAAAUCUAAAUGGAUAACUUUUAAUUUGGUUUAACCUUAUAUGACAGUCUGUAACACAUAAUCAUUCACAUAUAAGCCCAACGUUAGAUUAAGGAUCUAAUAAUAUUGGAUUAAAAAUCUAAUAAUUUUCUGUAGGAAGAAAUUUUGAGUGUAAGGAAUAAGAAGAGAGUAAGAAUGAUAGGAUUUGAUGCAUUCAUUAAGGGUAUUCUGUCAAGUGGUAGACGUGGGUGCAAAGUGAGACCCACUAGCUUUUUUAAUAAUAAAUUGAAUAAGUCACAAUAUAUGACCUAUGAUUUUUUUAGACAAGCGAAAGGCAAAACUUGCUUUAGUGGCUGGCCACAUUUUAUCUUGCUAAUAUCUACAAUAUUUAUUUUUGCAGUCUCCGAGACUGCGACUAUCCUCAAGCUCAGUUAUAAUCUUACCGAAUUUGUGUACCCAUUUUAUCUUCCACGUGGUUGGCAUUCACUACUUCGUUUGUCUUCUUAUGUACAAUUAUUUACUUAAUUGGGUUAUUUAAUUUGUAUUCUAACUAAUAUGGUAAAUGAUAUGUCAAUUAUUAAUUUUUAUCAUUUUUAAUUUAAAUAAUAAAUUUUAUUUGUGACACAUCAAUUAGAAUACAACUAAAUAUGCUGACUAAGUAAUCAUAGCAUCAUUCUUUAAAUUAUUUCCCUUGAACAAAGUCUCAUCAUAAACAAUUUAAACUUUACAAACUUUAAGUUGAUUUUAUCAUUUCUGUUGGUUCAAAUUUCAUAUAAAUUGUAUUAUUAAAUGCGUUAGUGUCAUGAUAAUGCCCACUAAUUUAUGCUACAUAGUGCUUUAAAAAUCGAUUCCAAAAUAUGAAUUAAUCUUUGAUCACAGGCCGUUUCAUAUCUAAAAUUUCAAAUUUCAACUUUUAUAUUAAAAAUAAUAGUGUCUAAUAUUUUGUCAUGGUAAGCAAGUUCAAAGUUAAUUCAAUGAGUUUUGAUUAGCCAAUAAAACAAUGAGUUCUACUGUUCAAUAAGCCAAGUUCGAAGUAAAUUCAAUCCUAGUCAUAGAAGAAUUGAAGUAACAUGUAUCAUAAUCUGUUUCAUAUUUUUUAAAAAAUUAAAUUAUAAGAGGAUCUUGAACAAUUUGAUUAUGCUAUGAAAUAUAGUCUUCUGCUUUUCAGAAAUCACUUUGGCGUUUUUGUCUGCCCUUAAUUGCUAAUGCCCAGGCUCUUACUGAAAUUGAAAUCUUGCAAGUGAAGUCACCCUUGGUGUUGAAAAUGAGUGGUAAAAAAUUAUUUGAAAAUUGUAGCUAAAUAUAUAGUUAAGCUUAAUCUAGUUAUUUUUAAAAUAGAUAUAGUUAUUAUUCCUGUGGUGAAACUGUCUUCCAUGUGCAGGAUACAUCCUUCUGUAUAGGGAAGAGUUAAUAUUCCUUUCUAAUCGCGAUUUGCUCUCAAAAUAAGACUCCUUGUGUACUAAGUAAUCUCCCUAAAAUAAAAUAUAUAAAUCCUAAUUUUAGCAAAUACUAAAUCACAAACUUAAAUGGUCUUUUAAUUGUAGGUAAAAAGUUUGAAAAAAAAUGAAGUAUGCAUAAAACUCAAAAUUGGAUCUAAUUUUAUUAAUAUAUCAUAUAUGUGUCGAGUAAUAUAAGAACUUAUUUAAUUUUGUUUUUGCUUGAUCCAUAUCAAGACAAAUAAUAAUAAUUGUGCUUAAUUAACAUGUGUAAUAAAUACAUAUUACUAUAGAAAAUGAGACAAAAGUAUAAAAAUGUCCUAAAAUAAAUAUAAACUUUAUGGUUAAACUAAUUCAAUAAAACUUAUUCCACUUCGUUUCAGUAUACUUUUUUUUUAAUUAAUGAGUACUUUUUUUGGUUUAAUUAAAGAAAAUAUUUUUAUUAAAUGAAUAAAAUAUUUUUCACUAAAAUUCUAUAGAAACAAUUUAAAUUUUUUAUAAUUAAUAAUCUUGUAUAAAUUUACUAGUUUUACUUUACAUUUAUUAGUUUUACGUGUAAUUUACAAUAUUUAUAUCUAUCACGGUAUUGAUGCCAUAAUUUUCAUUACAGCAUAAUAGAAUUUUCCUUAAUUAAUAUAGAAUUUGGAUCUUCUCUUUGUAGGAGAUUUGGACAACUGGAUAUAAAGAAUUAUAAGAUAAGAUUCAAUUUAUUUACACCAUUCUUAAAGUUGAUGGUUAACUAAUUAAAACCUAACAUUUUCACUAUCUAAACGCCAAAACCUAACCUCUUUAACUAAUUAAAAUUGAAAACUAACGGAAGUUUAAACUUAUUUCUUAGCUUCCAAGUUCAUCACUUCUCAAACUGUAAUGAUAAACUGCACUUCAUCUUUAUGCAAUUGUCAAUUAAAUUUCAGUAGUAAAUCAUCUUCUUCACGCAAAUUUCAAUUAAAUUUUAGUAAUAAAUCAUAUCUUAUUGACAUGAGAAUAUUUCAAGAAGCGCAAAAUUCUGGACGAAUAGAUUUUUAUUCUUAUUCUUAGAAAAGUAAAAAUUAGCCUGUUCGAUUAUUGUUCUUAUUCUUAUAAAAGAAAAAAAAAAUGAUCCGGCGAGCUAGCUAAUUAUUCUAACCACCUAUGGGACAACUAUCGAUAUCUAUUAAUGCAAAAAUCUGGCCGAAUAAAUUAUUAUUCUUAUUCUUAGAAAAGAAAAAAUUAGCUUAUUAUUCUUAUUCUUAUAAAAAGAUAAAAAUUGAUGGCCAGUUAGCUAAUUAUUCUUAUUCUUCUGUUCUUUUUUAUUUGAAUUGAUUCUCCCUUUUCCAUUCCUAUUUAACUAUGAAAUUAAUUACUAAUUUAUCUACCGCAAUUUUUCUGUACAACUAAUAGGAACGUGAUUCUUUCUCCGAAUCGGACUCACGAUCCUUUUGAUUUAUUAUAUACAGUGCACUCACCUUCAAUCCAUAUAUAGGCAGACAUAUAUGGGCAUGUUUGGUUGGAGGAUUAAAAUUGGGGAUUGGACUCUGUUUUUAAAAUUUUAUCUUUAUCUCAUGUUUGGUGCUAUCAAGGGUAUUGGAAUUUAGUUAUCUUGGACUCACAAGCUAAUCUUAAUUUUGUAAAGGAAAUUAUCCUGGGGGAUCAUGGAUAAAUUAUUGAUUAAAAAUAAUAUAAAUAUCAUAUACAUAUUUAACAAAAUAAAAAUUAUUUAAAUUAUGAUUUAUAUUUCAUUAAUGUCAUUGAGGUUGAUUUGUAUAAUUAAUAAUACAAAAUUUUAGUCUAUAAUAAUAUUAAUAAUAAUAAUAACUUGUAAAUUGUAAUAUUAUAAUAUAAAGGGAUAUUAUCAUUUUCCCACCAAAGGUAUUCUGACACAUCAUGUCAGUACUACGGUUUGGUAAAACCAUCAGUUUACCACCAAACGUUUAAACUGUUAGCAUUUUCUCACCAUUCCGUUAAAACUCAGUUAAAUGUAAUAGAAAAUUCAUAAAAGGUCAAUUUUACCCCUGGAGCGUAAAAGACGAUUUUGCCAUUUAAGAAGGAAGAACAACAAAUGAUGAUUUAAUUACAAAAUUCAUAAAAGGUUAAUUACAUGAUCUUUUAAAAGGUUAAUUUUACAAAAUUCAUAAAGAGUAAUUUUUGCCCUUUAAGAAGGAAUAACAGCAAAUGACCUUUUACAUGGUCUUUUACGCUCCAGGGGUAAAAUUGACCUUUUAUGAAUUUUCCGUUACAUAUUAACUGAGUUUUAACGGAAUGGUGGGAAAAUGCUAACAGUUUAAACGUUUGGUGGUAAACUGAUGGUUUUACCAAACCGUGGUACUGACAUUAUGUGUCAGAAUACCUUUGGUGAGAAAAUGAUAAUAUCCCUAAUAUAAAACAUGAUUAUUUAUAGUCCAAUCUAAUAUUGCACUAAACACAACAUAGUAUUAUAUAUAAUCCAGUAUUAUCUAAUUUAAUCCAAUUUUAUCCAAUCCAAUCCAAUCCGGCAUACCAAACGAGCCCAUAUAUUACAUCAAAUAAAUUAUUUAUGGAAAAAUUCACUUUAAAAUUAGAGAAUUAUCUUUAACUAAAUCUUAGUGGGCCUAAAUUCGAGUAAGAUUUAAUGAUAUAUAAUUCAAAAUUAUUGAGAUCCGACAUUUUAAACAAGAAAAUAAAUAAAAAGUUUUUGUUCUCUUUUUCAAAUAAUAAAUUUCAUUUUGAUGGCUUUUUAAUAUUAAAUUAGACAUUUGGUAAAUUGGAUCAAAUAUAUUAGAUCUUAGACCUUGUUUUUAAUGGAUUUAAUUAGAUUUCGAGCAUUUAAAUUAUGCAAUUGGACAAAUAACUAAUAAAUAGAUAAGUUUUUUUGUUAUUGUAAAAUAAAUUUGAACUUGAAUUUGAUGCAUUUAAUUAAUCCAAUGAGGCAAAUUUAUGAUUUCAACUUUUAAAUAAAACAUAUCCUUUGGAUUUUUUGGAUAAACCAGAGGCAACUUUUCCGUAUUUAUUUUUGCAAUCUGCGAGACUGCGACUAGGAUACAUCCUGAAGCUCCGUUUUAAUCUUACCUAAACUGUGCGCCCAUUUUAUCUCCCACGUUAUGGGCAUUACUACUUUGUCUUCUUAUGCACAAUUAUUUAUUCUCUGGACCACGUUUGGAAUAUGCACUUCAACCGUAGUUAAUCUCACGUAAAAGAUAAAAAUUCAGCCGUCGAUCUCUAAUCUAUGCCAACCUUGAAUUAUUAUUUGCUUUGGCCUGGAAAUUAUAUUAUUCUUUUUGGGGUAUCAGGGAAAUUGUUAUUAAAUAAUAAUUAAACAAGGAAAAUCUGUCUCUUUCCAUGGUUGUAUCAUUUUAUUAAUUGUUUCAUUUAUGCAUGCCUGCGUUAUUAACAUCUGUUACGAAUUGGAAAUUGAUCUUAACUAAUUUGAUGUGUUUCUCAUUUGAAUUAUUUGGAGACAUGCAUAAUGCAUGUCAAGUUUUUUAAUAGGACAUUAGUGACUUUAUUUCUUUUAUUGGCUCAAUUGAUCAAGUCUAGCAAAUUCGAUUAUUUAAAAUAAUUAUAAUAAUAGUCCAUUUAUAAUUUAUCAUACAAAUUUUCUUAUACAAUCAAACAAAUUUGAUUAUUAUUAUUCUGAUGAUAAGAUCUUUGUUUGGGAGAAAUACGUCGACGAGACCAGGCAUGGUGAGCAGAUAUAUGAUGGCAGAGUUCUGCGAACCGGUGUGUUCCUUAAAAGCCUGGUGCGCGGGGGAACAGGAGCAGAAAUAUCCUGCUCGUCCACGAGCACGUCAUCCGCGAGGCCAAUUUCCUGUAAGAGGCAUAAGGCCAUUCCGGCUAGAGGUCGAGAGGCGAGGAGACCCGGUCGACGGCAGUUGGCAAGACAUGCUCUCCAGCCCGAGAAUCUAGGCACGACAGCCACGCUUUCCCCAGAACCGUGGCGUAACACGCAAGAUCCCACGUUUGCCCAUAAUGCAGCAGUCAGAGUCCCGUACCGUCUCGAAAAAAGUAGAAAACUGGGAUUCAGAGGAAGCCUAUAAAAAGGUAGCCAACGAAGGUAAAAGGGUUAGCAUUUUUGAGAUUAAAAAAGAAAAUUCAAAAGAAGAGAAAACGACGAAAAAGCCAUAAGAUCUGUGGCAAGCGUUCCCCGAACCUUCAUAUCUGACUUGAGCGUCGGAGGGUUUGCGCCGGGAAAAUAACCGGCGUACUCUGACUUGUCUGUGUGCGCAGGAACCUCUGGAGAAGAAGCCUUGCGAGGAGACCUCCUGGUCGUGAUGAAGUUGAUCGAGCAGAGAUCCUAGUCGUAGAACGAGGAGAACCGGAAUCCCGCAUCAACAAUCUUAAUAAAAUUGGAAUAGACAAAUUUUCAUUGUUGUCUCACACUUACGUCAAACAAAGAAAAAAUAUCGUAAGACUAUAAACAAAUUAAGAACCAUUGUCAAACAUGACAAUCCAAAUAUUUAAACUAUUAAAAUUUCAUCACUUUGAAUUUAAGCUUUUUUUUUAUUUUCCCCUUUUAUAUGUUAGAAAAUAAACUUUUGACGGAAUGAUUUUCUUUUUAAUAACAAAAUUGAAAUUGGUAAUUGGAAAUUUUCAUUUCCAAAACCAUCUUUCACUAGCUAUGUCCAAGACGAAACCGACUAAAAGAAACUUUGUAAUUUCCAAAAUUAUUGUAGCAAUGAGAUGCGAAAGAAAAGUCUGCACGUGUUAAUUGCGACAGUUUUCCCUUGUAAUUAGUGUAAUUGAACUGUAGCCGGUUAUUCUUGAUCUACUUAUCCAACAGCAUACCUUUUUUUUCUUUUGGGAAUCAAGAGGCAUACUUGAAUCACCUAUAUAUAUUACAUCAAAUUAUCAAACCGGAAGCAAGAAAUCGCAAAAGCAACUUAAUUACUUUUGAGCUUUCUUCCCCGUAAGCAGAGAUCUUUCUGUGUGAACAUGGAAACUACCUGUGCAGGUUUACAGGCCAACUUCAUUUCAGUUUAUUUCAUUUAUAAUUCUUAUUUUAGUAUAUGCAUUUAUAAAUAUAUUUUCUAAUAUGAAUUUUUCAGGUAAUAAGUGGUCGGAGACUGUGAACGUCCAGCCGUGGCACAGUAUUGCUGAUGAUGAUAUGGUGAAUGACAACCUUGAUCUUCUUGUUGUCCCUCAAUAUGGGAGAAACCCCGACCGUAUGGGUUAAGUGUAGUGAUAUUUUUUAAUGUUAUGUUUAAUUAAAUAAAUGAUAGGUAUAUUGUUACCUAUCAAUCAUGUUAGUAUCUUAGUUCGGUUCAAUUCAGCUUAUAAGAUCUCUUCAUAUGUAAAAGAGGUUUUCUUUAUUUACAAAAUGAUUUCCUUAAAAGGAAAAUAAAUAAAUAAAAGUUACUGUGUGUGUCAACAUAUUGGUUAUGUUAGUUUAUACAUAUCGGUUUAAUUACGCUUUCUCUUCCUAAAUAUUGUUCUGAAAUAAAUUCACACAUUUGUUGUGUAAAAAGACAAUAUACCUUUCAAUUAUAUGAAAGGUUACAUUUUAUUCAUUUACCGACAAUAUCCUCUUGAUCCACCAUAAAGGAUAUUGUAGCCCCAAGAUGGUAAAAAAAUUGUACUAUUUUGUAACCGGAACAAUCAUUUCUUCUACCUCUACGACAUCCUGUAAUGUUAUUUGCAGCUUCGCAAGGCACAAAAACAUCAUCAAAUAAGCAGUUGUUUUCUGAAAAAAUAAAGAAAAUGGAAAAAGAAUUAGAAAAAGCUGCACUAUUUUAAUUGCCAUCUGGUAUAUGAUCACUUCCCAUUGGAUUUGGAGGCCGGGUAAUCUUGUUAUUUGCACUCCUAGAAUCUGCUUCCAUGCUACUUGUAUGGUUCCGUCUUUUAAGUCUAGUAGUAUUUUGUUUGGAACCCCACUGUAAUAUUUUCAUCAAGAAAAUUGAGGACUUAAUUUUUGGUGUUUUUAUCCGAUUAAAUUACAUUUAAUUAUUAAUAUUCGUUGACUGAAAUCUGAAGGGUGUUUGAUUCGGAUAUGAAUCCUCUCUUAAUCUAUUUUUUUUCUGAAUUUUGUAAGAUAUUAUGCCACGUCAUUUAAAUUUUUUUAUAGUUAGGAUUUAAUUUACAUUGAGCUUUCCGUAUUACACACCAAAUCCCAUAACUUUUUUCUUAUCUCUUAAUGGUGCUUCUUCUGAUCUUCUUCUCCCUCUCCCUCUCUCUCUCACGUUUUUUCUUAUCUCUCAAAGGCCUAAAACUUUGACAAGCAAAUUUGAGCAAGAAAGAAUAUCAGAACGGAAAGGAUUCAAAAUAUUAAAAAAUUCGGAUAAUUUAAUUCUCUUGCGAUUCAUGAAUUUUGUUUUUCUGAUGCGAUUCCACUUUCUCAGAGUGCCAAGAAAUAGCAAUUCAAACCUUUUUUUUUUAAUGCCAUCAAAUGAAUUAAAAGUUACAUAUGCAGCAAUACCCAAUCGAAAAUAAGUUAAUUUUUUUUUUUUUGAAAAGUUCUUAAUUUUAGGCUAGAAUUAAAUCCAUUCUUGUUGUUUUUACGUAUCUGCAAUUUAACUUAUGCUGUUAGUUUGCAAAUUAUUUUGCAUGCAUAAAUAAUCGUUUCUUUUUCUUAUUCUUGAUUCAAUUUUGGUCCCUAGAAUAAUAUUGAUAUCGCAGAUCAAUUAUCAAAGUUUGUUUGGGUGAACAAGAAAUAUGAGAAAGAGGAGAAUUUUUGUUUCCCAAACAUUGGUUAUUUAAUUGUCUGUUGGUUUUAGAAUUUUGAUUAGCCAAUAACACAAUGAGUUUUAUUGCUCAACAAGGCAAGUGCAAAGUAAAUUCAAUCCCAGUCAUGGAAAAAUUUAAGUAACAAAUAUCAUAAUAUUUUUCAUAUCUUUUGAAAAAUUAAAUUAUAAGACGAUCUUGAACAAUUUGAUUAUGCUAUGAGAUAUAGUCUUCUGUUUUUUUUUUUUUUUAGGGAAAAAAUGAGGAAGUUAGAAACAUAUUUCUUAAUUUUUUCAGAAAUCACUUUGUUGUUUUUGUCUGCCCUCAAUUGCUAUCUCCUAAGUGAAGUCACCCGUGGUGUCGAAAACGACUGGUAAAAAAUACUUUGAAAAUUAUAGCUAAAUAUAUAGUUAAGCUUAAUCUAGUUUAUUUUAAAAAUAGAGUUAUUAUUCCUACGGUGAAACUGCCUUCCAUGUGUAGGAUACAUCCUAUUUAUAGGGAAGAAUUAUGCUACCAUAAUUCCUCAGGCAGUCUCCCUGACAUAAACGACAUAAAUCCUAAUUUUAGCAAAAUAAGUAAAUCACCAAGUCUUCUAAUUAAUGUAGACUACAAUUUGAGAACUACAACUCCAUAAGGACGCAAAUCUGAAACUGUUGCAAAAUGCCAAUUUAAAUCUCAAUAAUCUGUCAUCAUGAACAUAUUAGCUGUUACCAAUAAUCAUGAACUAUUGACGACAGACUUUAUAUACGUUUUUCAGUUUCUAUCUACUUUUUAUCCACAAUUUUCUAGUUAAUGAUCGUGAUCAGCGAGCCAUGGGAUCCAAUGAUACCCGCGUAGUUCGCACAAUUAAUUAAUAUAGAAUUUGGAUCUUCUCUUUGUAUAGGAGAUUUGGACAAUUGCAUUCAAAGAAUUAUAAGGAUAGGAUUUAAUUUAUUUUCAAUUUUGCAAUUUAAACUCCAAAACCUAACGUUUUUAGAUUAAGGUGCCGUUUAUUUUUUUAUCUAAAAUCUGAAUAGACCUGAAUUAGUCUGGAUUCUUAAUAGAGCUGAAUGUCUGAAUGUAAAUGACAUUUUUUUUGUAUGAAUAGCUAAAAAUAAAUAUUAAGUUGUUUGCUUUUUUAACUUAAAAAAUCUGAUUAUGCCCUUACAAAUUAUAAUGUUAAACAAAUAAUAAAUAUCUCAAAGAAUAUAAAUAAUGUAAUAAAUUAUCAUAACAUAAAUCAUAUUCAAUUGAGUAUAACUUUUUAAUAUUUUAUAUUAUAUAUGUUAAUUAAUUUUAUUAUAGUUUGUGAUGUUUUUAUAUGAAAAAUAUUCACAAAAAAUUAUGAAGAUAAAUAAUGCUAAUUUGAACAAAAUUAAAAGAUAAAAAUAAUAAUAAUCUACCACUAUAUAUUAUCAAAAGUUAUAUACAGAUGGGUGAUAAUGUUAAUUAUUAAAUUUUAUUUAGUUAAGAAUGAAAAUUAAUUAAUUAGAUAGGAAUAUUUUGAAAAAUAUCUUUUAAUGAUAGUAUUCAAACUUUUUAGAUUAAAUAAAAAACUAAAAAGAUUAGCUUAAUAACUUAAUGACUUAAUUGCUGAAAAUCUUGAUUAAGUUGAAAAAAACAAACAGAAUUAAUGACUUAACUAAUUAAAAUUAAGUCAAUUAAGUCAUUAAAUCAAAAAACAAAUAGCCCCUAAUUAAAAUUGAAAAUUAACCGAAGUUUAAACUUAUCUCUUAGCUUCGAAGUUUAUCACUUCUCAAACUCUAAUGAUAAAGAUAAACUGCACUUCAUCUUUACGCAAUUGUUAAUUAAAUUCAGUAGUAAAUUAUCUUCUUCACGCAAACGUCAAUUAAAUUUUAGUAAUAAAUAAUAUCAAAUAGAAUUGUCAACAUGAGAAUAUUUCAAGGAAUGCAAAAAUCUGGCCAAAUGGAUUAUUAUUCUUAUUCUUAGAAAACAAAAAUUAGCCAGUUCGAUUAUUGUUCUUGUUCUCAUUAAAAAAAUAUAUAUAUAUGAGCUGGCCAGUUAGCUAAUGAUUCUUAUUCUUCUAUUCUUUUUUAUUUGAAUUGAUUCCAUCUUUUCCAUUCUUUUUUUAACUAUGAAAUUAAUUACUCAUUUAUCUACAGUUGUUUCUGUAAAACUACUAGGAACGUGAUUUAUUGCGGAAUGAGACUGAAGAUCGAUCUUUUUGAUUCAUUAUCUACGGUGCGCUGACCCUCAAUCUAUAUAUAGGCAGACGCAUAUAUUAUAUCAAAUAGGUUAUUGAUGGAAAUUUCACUUUUAAAAUAGAGAAUUAUCCUUAACUAAAUCUUAGUGGCCUAAAUUUGAGAAAGAUUUAAUGAUAUAUAAAUAAAAUUACUGAAAUUGGACAUUUUAAACAAGAAAAUAAAAAAAUUAUUCUUUUUCAAAUAAUAAAUUUUAUUUUGAUGGAUUUUUAAUAUUAAAUUAUCCAUUUACUAAAUGGGAUCAAAUAUAAAAGAUGUUAGACUUUGUUUUUAACGGAGUUAAUUAGGUUUUGGGCAUUUAAAUUAUGCAAUUGGAGAUAUAAUUCAUAAAUAGAUAGGAUUGUGUGUGAUUUUAAAAUAAAUUUGAACUUGAAUUUGAUGCAUUUAAUUAAUCCAAAGAAGCAAAUUUAUAAUUUCAACUUUUAAAUAAAACAUAUGCUUUGGAUUUUUUACGUAAACCAAAGGCAACUCUACCAUAUUAUAUUAAGAUGGGACCUUGAUUUUAGGGGUAAGCCUAGGCAGUCGCCUAAAGUGUAGAGCUUCUAACACCCCUUUUAAACUCUUAAGAAACCCUAAUUUUCAUUCUUUUCAAUCUCUUUCUUUUAUAAAAUUACAUAAAAGGACAUAAAAUUUUAAUUGAGUUUCCGUAUCAUUUAGAAUACAUUUUGUAAACAUACUUGUCAUAAUAAAACUGUUGUUAAUAAAUAAUUCAUUUCUUCAUUAUUUUUUAUUUUGUCAACAAAAUUAAUUAUAUCACAUAAUAGGAUUCAAAAAUAGUUAAGAUUCAUGAUUUUUAAAGAUAUUUAGCUUAAUCAAAUUCAUGUAUGUUUGGUAAUGUGUUAAAGUAUUAAAAUUGAGAAGAUGCACAAAUUAAAAUUAGGUAUUUUUCUCACUUAUUAACUCAAAAUGGUAAAGAGAAUAAAAUUCUCUCUAUUAUUGAUUCAAUAUGGUUUAUAUUGUGCGGUGGAAGCGUCAUUUAUGGCCUGACACCACUGGUGUGCAAAUAUAGAAUCAAUACGCACCAAAUAUGUACAGAAAAAAUAAAGGACAUAAGAAUUUCAUAUGGUUCAGCAAUAAAGCCUACGUCCAUAGAGGUAAGAGAGAAUAAUUAUUCUGCUAACAAUUAACAGAGUACAAAUUUGACUAAUAAAACCUCACUUCCCGAAUACCUAAAUAUACCUAAUACUCUCACACACUCUUGAAGGAAACAAUUUCUUUAAAACACACAUUCUCUCAUAUCUCUACAAAUAGUGCAUAACCCAACUGAAUACCCAAAGAAAUGCUCUCCCAACUUUCUAAGAGCUCAUUCGCAGAUGCUCCCUUUCGAUCUUUGGAAACUCUCAUUGAGAUCUCUCUUUGCACUGUCUCAAAGGACUCUUCACAUAAGCUCUCUAUAUUUCGUGGGAUACUCACACCAAGGGAAAUGAUUGGUAUUAAUAGGAGAGUUUCAUCAUGCAUGCAUUUUAUUAUUGCACUCAAAAGUCUUAGAAAUCAUCUACCAAUUUCUGCAUUUUUGAAAAAUUCAUGAUACGGCUCCAACUCCUCCAAAUUGUCAAUUUUUUAUGGCCACUGAAUUGAAAAGCAAGCCAUGUGUUUUCAUUGGACUUUUCAACAAUCUCCACCUUGGCGAAGAUUUGUCCAAAUUUAAGUUGACUACCAAUGAACCAUCAUCCCUAAAGUGAUCUUCCCUUAUGUAUCCAAAACGGUUGUAUUGAUUCAACUGCCUACGUUCCACCUACUACGAUCAAGUCAACCGUAGUUCAUAAUUUUUUAAGAGAAUGCCUUCACAAAUUAUACUAUAUUUAUGUAGAGAAUCCUUAUCAUUGCAGGCUAGUGAAUUGUACCUGGAUCUACUAAACAUGCUCAUUGCUUGAGAUAUAUUGUGCAUUCUAUUCACCAUCACAUCCAUAAGACUACCCAUAACAUAAGCUUACAAAACAUGAGCCAUGUACUCGUGCUUUACUUAAGGAGAAUGACAUGAACAAGAGCUUAGGAGACAUAGGAAAACCUUUCUUGCAACUUCUUCAAAAUAUGAGUCAACUACAUGCUCAUAUUCUUUCUGUCUUUAUGAAAUCUCCAACGUAAGUACUCUCUGUCCAUCACUCAAAACUUUCAUCUUGAACUCAGAAACCAUUAGUUUCUUCAGUUUCAUCUCUAUUCUUCGAAGUUACAAGUCUUUCAUUGACAUAGAGUACCAAAUGGAUGAAAGCUCCAUCUUGUAUUUUUCUAAAGUAAAAAUAGUGAUCGUGUUCAAGUCUAGUGAUUUUGCCCUUAUAAGAAUCGAUCAAAUCCCAUGUACAUUUGUUUCUCGAUUAUUUGAGUCUGUACAAAGAUCAAACCAUCCUACACAUUAUUCUCCUUUCAGCAACUUUGAAACUAGAAGACUGAGUCAUUUAGAUCUCAUCUUCCAAGUCCCCAUGUAAGGACAUCAUCUUAGCAUUCGAUUGAGCUAACUCUAACUUAUACUCCAGAACUAAGUCAAGUCAGAUACAAAAGGAAGUAUUUUUCGUAACUGGAGAAAAAAAACCUUCCUUAUAAGCAAAUCUUUUUGUCAUGACUCUUGCUUUAUAUCAAAGGGUUGCUUGUUUUAGAGAUCUUUAUUUCUUAGUGCAACCACUUUUAUUGCCACUAGCCCUCAAUGGCCUAGGUAACUUUACAAGUUUCCAAGUUUGAUUUUGAUGAAUAGACUUCACUUCUUCCUUUAUGGAUAACUUAUAUUGAUCACUUUCAUUGUUGUGUACUAUUUCACUGAAAAUGUUAAGGAUGUCAUUAUUAGCACCUGAAAGUGCAAAGGUUACUACCAUAUAAGCCAUCCAGGUUUCUGUUCUUAGUCUCCUUGUUGUUAUCAUAUUUAUCUACAUCAUUAAUUGUUUCUUCUUCUUGUGAGACAUCAAUAGAAUAAUUUCUUUUUCAACUCUUAGAGUAAGACCCGAAGUUAAACUCUUCUCUAAUAUGGAACCAUCUGGUCAUAUGGAGUUGCAUUAAACUCCACCAACUACAAUAUCUCGUCAGUCUUGUUAUCCACCUAUUGAGAACUAGAAGUUUUCUACAUUAAAGCUUCAUCAAAACUGACAUCACUGCGAUACACAAACUUUUUAUCUUCGAGAUCUCAAAACUCUACCUUUGAAUCCUGCAAAGAUAACAUACAAAGAGAAUCAUAGUCUUUUGCAUCUUUUCAGACCACUUCUCCAAAAAUGUCUUACCUCUAAUUGCAGCAGAUUACAAAUCUUUUUUUCUAAGUGACUUGUGUAGCUUACAAAAUCUAUCUAAAACCUCUUAUUUAAACCAGCACUAGAUAAGAUACAUCGUACAUUCUCCAAUAAAGUAUGGUCUAUACGCCCAGGUACAUCUUAUUACGAAACGUCAUUUUAGACUCUCAUUUUGGCAUAUUUGCAAAAAUGGUUCACAAGUCUAUCAUUUCAUAUUAGUACGUAAUACUUUGAUCUUUCUGUUAGGUUGAGCCUCUACCAGUUUCUUCUAUUUCACAAACAUCUCUAGAAUCUCAUCAUAUGGUUAUAUGGUAUGCACGUAUAUACAUCUAGAGAAAUAAAUAAAACUCAUUGGUAGUAGUCUUGGUUGGUUCUCAUACAUCACUGUGAACAUUCAAAGAUCUCAUAAGUAUCGUGAUUAGUCAUGCCAAGCUUGACCAUUGUUUUCUUACAUACCAAAUAAUGCUCACAUGCCUUCAUUUUUACAAAUUUAGACACUUUUCAAAAGUCCAUGCCUCAUCUUAAUUUGCAAAGACUUUUCUCAUGCAUGUCCCUAAUCAUACAUGUUAUAGCUUGAUGGUGUCAUUGUGCACCAACAAAAAAAUAUU
rnacentral:lncRNA from 1 species